rnacentral:lncRNA from 1 species
AGCCGAUCUAUGAGUUAUAUUUCUAUGGCGCCGCCCUCUCGUUGCGGUGACGUGUCCCUCUCAUUACGGUGACGUGGCCCUCUAACCGGAAGCGAGAGGACUGGAGACCUGCGACAGCAUCACACAUCGGAAAGGCAAACUGAGUCUGCAACCAACUAAAUUACACAUCGGCGAGAAAUAACAUGGUGACGGACGUGCAGCUGGCCAUCUUCGCCAACAUGUUGGGUGUUUCUCUGUUCCUGCUGGUGGUUCUAUAUCACUACGUGGCCGUCAACAACCCCAAGAAACUGGAGUAGAAAGAACUGGCCUGGAGAGGUGAGGAGAGAGGACAGAGGAUAGAGGACAGGAGGUGAGGACAGAGGUGAGGUGGCGGCUGAAGGGGGGACCAGAGAGAGCAGCGGUGAGACGACGCCUCUUCUCACCUUCGUCGUCUGUCUCUCCUUCCCCGUCUGUCUCUCCCAGCCUGUACAGGAGUGUUUUCUAAUAAAAUGUCUGUCAACAAAAGCCUGUCAGUUUGUGGUGGUGAUUGACUGAAAAACCUUGUUGGCAUUUCUACUAACAUUUUAAGGGAACAAACAUUACAAUAUGUGCACUCUGGAUGGAAUUCAUGGAUUUUGGCCAGCCGGGCUUCUAGACCGCAAUUCCUACUAGCCUGGAUCCAAAAUCGGUGCCAUAGGAUAAAGUAAUCCUUCUAACCCCCCCCUAAAGAUUUAGAUGCACUAUUGUAAAGUGGUUGUUCCACUGGAUAUCAUAAGGUGAAUGCACCAAUUUGUAAGUCGCUCUGGAUAAGAGCGUCUGCUAAAUAACGUAAAUGUAAUAUUUGGGAAGACAAAAAAUGGAAAGCCAGCCCUAUCUUAAAUUCCAUUCCAUGAUAUCCUACAGACUAUACACUACAGAGAGAGAGAAAGUCUUGUAUCAUUACCCAUCAGUCUGGUUUAAUUAGCGUUUCGCUACACCAGCAGUAACAUCUGAUAAACAUGUGUCUGUGACCAAUAAAAUGUGAUUAGAUUUGAUCUCAGCAUCAGUGUGGUAUUGACUAUAUAGACCCCUAUGGGCCCUGCUCCAAAGUAGUGCACUAUAUAGGGCUCUGCUCCAAAGUAGUGCACUAUAUAGGGCCCUGCUCCAAAGUAGUGCACUAUAUAGGGCCCUGCUCCAAAGUAGUGCACUAUAUAGGGCCCUGCUCCAAAGUAGUGCACUAUAUAGGGCCCUGCUCCAAAGUAGUGCACUAUAUAGGGCCCUGCCCCAAAGUAGUGCACUAUAUAGGGCCCUGCUCCAAAGUAGUGCACUAUAUAGGGCCCUGCUCCAAAGUAGUGCACUAUAUAGGGCCCUGCUCCAAAGUAGUGCACUAUAUACAGUGGGGGAAAAAAG